AACUACUCCAUAUAUUUUGCAGACGGCAGGCAGGGUGUCUUCUUCUGCUUGCUUAUUGAGGCUGAUUAAACAACUCCCACCAAGCUGGGAGAAGCUGUAUUGUAACUGAGAUUUUUAUGGAUAACAGUAGUCCCUGGUGUCUUCAAUUAAUAACUAAUGAUGUCCCACAGCCCACAGGUGUAAAACAAAAAAUGUUUUGCGCUCCUCAAGGCAUGGCUCACCCAUGGUUAAAAAUCACUGGUGUAAGGUAUAUUCCUCAACCAGGCGACAAUCAAAAUACAUUUUAAUAACCUCACACAAAAGAUUAAAAUGUUCUGCUAUACAUAUUGUUACAAACUGGGACUGAAAGCUGAUCCUUUUUUUAUUAUUGUUAUUAUUAGAUACAUUUUUCAUAAAUAUAUAAUAAUUUGAUUAUGCAUUUGAUUUGUUUUGAACUUUUCUGCCAUUUUUUUUUUCUAAUGUAGGAAUUGGAGCCACAAGCUGGAAGCCAGCUGCUGUUGUUAUGGGAGAAUUAAUUUUGGGAGUCAAGUUAAAUGAGAGUGGUACACUGUUCUACUAGCUAAGGCUACGUAGCAGGAGCAUGGAAGAAGGGCUGACUAAUUGUAAUUUUUUUUCCCUUGUUAAUACACAAGUUCAGUUUUAGAAUGUAUUCAAAAGGGUACAGUGUUGUGUUAAUGAACUGUUUGUUCAGAAUAAAAUAUCUGAAGCUUUAAAAAACUUACUAAACAGGGUUUUAAAGUGUCUGACAAGAAAAUGAAUGAAAGAAAAAUGCUUGUACUAUGUUUGUAAUAUGUAUGUACGUUACUGUUUUCAUCAUACAUUUUAUUGUGAAAUUGUGAUGUUCAGUUAGUUUGAAUUACAGAGUUUUGACAGGGUCAAAUGUUUACACUGUGUCCCAUUUAUAGCAAAUAAACAGUGAUUAUUUCUUGUUGCCAA